rnacentral:rRNA from 1 species
UACGGGGGGAGCAAGCGUUGUUCGGAUUUACUGGGCGUAAAGGGCGCGUAGGCGGUCGUGACAAGUCACUUGUGAAAUCUCCGGGCUUAACUCGGAACGGUCAAGUGAUACUGUCGGACUAGAGUACAGAAGGGGCAACUGGAAUUCUCGGUGUAGCGGUGAAAUGCGUAGAUAUCGUAAGGAAGACCAGUGGCGAAGGCGGGUCUCUGGACAGUUCCUGACGCUGAGGCACGAAGGCCAGGGGAGCAAACGGG